GCCAUUUUCCUGCCUCAGUCUCCGGAGUAGCUGGGACUACAGGCGCCCGCCACCACGCCUGGCUAAUUUUUUUGUUUUUUUAGUAGAAACGGGGUUUCACCGUGUUAGCCAGAAUGGUCUCAAUCUCCUGACCUCGUGAUCCACCUCAGCUUCCGAAAGUGCUGGGAUUACAGGCGUGAGCCACCGAAACCGGACAAUGCCUCCUUCUUAAUUUCCAGUAUUGUUGGCUAAUAUCAGGGACAUAGAUGAAGCUGGGAGCCAUCAUACUCAGCAAACUAACACAGGAAUAGAAAACCAAACACCGCAUGUUCUCACUCAUAAGUGGGAGUUGAACAAUGAGAACACAUGGACACAGAUUUGCUGUCUGGAGAGAUAUAUGAAAUUUAAAGAUGGCAAUCCAUUCCCUUUCCAUCAUGCUUCUUUUUCUACAG